GAUGAACGCUGGCGGCGUGCCUAAUACAUGCAAGUCGAACGAAAAGACGUUGAGAUCGCGCCCUUGCCGUUAGCGACGGACGGGUGAGUAACGCAUGGAUGAGUAACCUAUAAGACUCGGGUCAAAUCGAGAGGGAUGAGACAAUACCACAGAAUAUAAUACACCACAACCAUCAAUAGUGCAAGAUAACUUUGUUGUCAGUUAUAGAAGUACCCGCGUCGCAUUAGCUAGUUGGUAAGGUAACGGCUUACCAAGGCGACGAUGCGUAGCCGACCUGAGAGGGUGAUCGGCCACACUGGAACUGAGACACGGUCCAGACUCCUACGGGAGGCAGCAGUAGGGAAUCUUCCGCAAUGGGCGAAAGCCUGACGGAGCAACGCCGCGUGAGUGAUGAAGGUCUUCGGAUCGUAAAACUCUGUUAUUAGGGAAGAACAAAUGUGUAAGUAACUAUGCACGUCUUGACGGUACCUAAUCAGAAAGCCACGGCUAACUACGUG
rnacentral:rRNA from 1 species